UUAUAGCUCAGUCAAUAGAGCACAAGACUCUUAAUCUCAUGGUUUUGGUUUCGAGCCCCAUGUUGGGCAAAA